UACGUAGGGUGCAAGCGUUGUCCGGAAUUAUUGGGCGUAAAGGGCUCGUAGGCGGCCUGUUGCGUCCGCUGUGAAAUCCCGGGGCUCAACCCCGGGCCUGCAGUGGAUACGGGCUGGCUGGAGGCAGGCAGGGGAGAACGGAAUUCCUGGUGUAGCGGUGAAAUGCGCAGAUAUCAGGAGGAACACCGGUGGCGAAGGCGGUUCUCUGGGCAACAACUGACGCUGAGGAGCGAGAGCGUGGGGAGCGAACAGG
rnacentral:rRNA from 1 species